rnacentral:rRNA from 1 species
GAUGAACGCUAGCGGCAGGCUUAAUACAUGCAAGUCGAGGGGCAGCGGGGUAGCAAUACCGCCGGCGACCGGCAAACGGGUGCGGAACACGUACAGAACCUCCCUCCAAGUGGUGAAUAGCCUUCCGAAAGGAAGAUUAAUACACCGUAAUAUUAGAGAGUGGCAUCACUUUCUAAUUAUAGAUUUAUCGCUUAGAGAUGGCUGUGCGGCUGAUUAGGUAGUUGGCGGGGAAUAGCCCACCAAGCCUGCGAUCAGUAACUGGUGUGAGAGCACGACCAGUCACACGGGCACUGAGACACGGGCCCGACUCCUACGGGAGGCAGCAGUAAGGAAUAUUGGGCAAUGGACGAGAGUCUGACCCAGCCAUGCCGCGU